GGACAGCCCCCUCUUCUCCCGUUAUUGGCCGGAGAAAUUGAGGAACCCAAAAUGGCGAAUCCGAAGACUCCCGCUCGAGGCGAUGGCCUCCGACACCCACCAGGCUUGCGCCGCCGUCUCACCUGAUGGUAGCCCUGCUGAAACCAGCCAUGACGAUUUGGAUAGGUCCGUUCAUAGGUAAAGUACAGCAACGGAUCCUGGACGUUCAGCUGAGGAGCAGGAGCCCCUGGAAGAGGUAUAGUCAGAUGAGGUAUUCUCAGAGUUUCCCCAAGUCGAGGUGGACGAAACUCUUAGGCCUGAAUGAUUCGGCUCAGCCCAGCUGCAGGAUCCCAACCUGAUCCAAUCCUGGAGUAAUGUCCAAGUGAUCGAGGGACAAAACCAGGAUGGGGAAAUACUGCUUAAUCACCUGUUAGAAAGACUCCGUUCUCGAUUGGAACAUAUUCUGGGUCGCAUGCCUCUGGAUCUAGACUUCUUGGAGUUCACUUGCACACAAGAACUUGUGUUUUUAAAUGCUGCAUCCUCUGAAAUUGCUGUUUGUCCAUCAAUUUCAGAUGCACUAACACAGCUAUACAGUGAAAUCAAUUUAGAAAAAGAAAAAAGGAAGCAACAUGUUUCAGUUUUGCAGUUUGAGGAAGGGCCAGCUGGGCGCCAGCGAAUGGUCAUAUCCCCAGACUACCUUCGCCAACUUCUCAAACUUAAUCUGUCGGUCCCUUGUAUUGCCAAACUCUUGGGGAUGUCAAGAAGGACAGUUUACCGGCGCAUGGCUGAGUAUGAUCUCUCAGUAAAGGCACUAUACAGCACCAUGUCAGAUGCAGAGCUGGACCAGUGUGUGAGCGAGAUUAAAUCCUGACAGCCUCACUCUGGAUACCGAAUGGUGAAGGGAUUUCUGCAAGCCAGAGGACUCAGGGUGCAGUAUAACCAUGUCCGAGCGUCCAUGCACCGUGUUGACACCACUGGUGUCAUCUCCCGAAUGGUCCAUUUAGGAUGUAUUGCUCGACGGACCUAUUCAGUUCCAUGUCCCC
ensembl:lncRNA